GGUGUAGCGGUGGAAUGCGUAGAGAUCUGGAAGAACACCAGCUGCGAAGGCGGUCUCCUGGCCCAAUACUGACGCUGAGGCUCGAAAGCUAGGGGAGCAAACAGGAUUAGAUACCCUGGUAGUCCUAGCCGUAAACGAUGGACACUAGAUGCUGGAGGAGUCAAUCCUUUCGGUGUCGUAGCUAACGCGUUAAGUGUCCCGCCUGGGGAGUACGCUCGCAAGGGUG
rnacentral:rRNA from 1 species